CGAGGUGUAGCGCAGUUUGGUAGCGCGCUUGGUUCGGGACCAAGAGGCCCCGGGUUCAAAUCCCGGCACCUCGACCA
rnacentral:tRNA from 2 species